rnacentral:rRNA from 1 species
CUUUACACAUGCAAGUCGAACGGCAGCAUGGGAGUGCUUGCACUUCUGAUGGCGAGUGGCGAACGGGUGAGUAAUACAUCGGAACGUACCGUUUAGUGGGGGACAACUUCAAGAAAUUGAAGCUAAUACCGCAUACGAACUACGGUUGAAAGCAGGGGACCUUCGGGCCUUGUGCUAAACGAGCGGCCGAUGGAAGAUUAGCUAGUUGGUGGGGUAAAGGCUCACCAAGGCGACGAUCUUUAGCGGGUCUGAGAGGACGAUCCGCCACACUGGAACUGAGACACGGUCCAGACUCCUACGGGAGGCAGCAGUGGGGAAUUUUGGACAAUGGGGGCAACCCUGAUCCAGCAAUGCCGCGUGAGUGAAGAAGGCCUUCGGGUUGUAAAGCUCUUUUGUCAGGGAAGAAAUCCUUAGUACUAAUAAUGCUGGGGGAUGACGGUACCUGAAGAAUAAGCACCGGCUAACUACGUGCCAGCAGCCGCGGUAAUACGUAGGGUGCAAGCGUUAAUCGGAAUUACUGGGCGUAAAGCGUGCGCAGGCGGCCUGUUAAGUCAGAUGUGAAAUCCCCGAGCUCAACUUGGGAACUGCAUUUGAAACUGAUAGGCUAGAGUGUGUCAGAGGGAGGUAGAAUUCCACGUGUAGCAGUGAAAUGCGUAGAGAUGUGGAGGAAUACCAGUGGCGAAGGCGGCCUCCUGGGAUAACACUGACGCUCAUGUACGAAAGCGUGGGGAGCAAACAGGAUUAGAUACCCUGGUAGUCCACGCCCUAAACGAUGUCAACUGGUUGUUGGGUCUUCAUUGACUUAGUAACGAA